rnacentral:lncRNA from 1 species
GGAGCCGCGCGCACGUUGCUGCCGGGACCCGCCGCGGCGAUGAGCAGCUGCAUCUGUCGAGGCCGCUUAGUCCUUUUCCGUCGGUGGAGACGCUGGGACCCGGGCCUGGGACACGUGGGCGCCCAGGGCCUCGCCGCAGCGCAGCGCCCGAGACGCACAGGUGUUGGAAAAUCCCCACUGAAUGAAUCAAAAAAAAAUUAAACGUAUCCUGGGAACAUGCCGUUCAGGGUUUUGGAAUGGGAACUUCAAACGAAGUUGGUAAAGGAGUCAAAUGCAUCCCAGAGGAAAAGAGGCGUAAGAAGUCCAAAGCAUUAUUAUUUCCCUUUUACAAGAAGUUCCUGUUAGGCCUAAUCCAGAGGAAAUUCAAGGAUAUGAAGAGAAAAGACGUGAUAAAAAUGACCAGUUCUAUUGUUCUCUGUGAAUAAGGUAACUACUUCUACUUAAUGCUAAAAUUAGAAAUCUCCUUUGUAGUUUGGAGGGCUGAUAGGCCUCUGGGUUUGGUGGGGAGGUCUCUAUUUUUAAUCUCUGAAGCCAAGGGGAUCCUUAUUUCUUUAGAGUCCAUAAAGCUGUGCUGGCCAGUAUGUAGUCACAGGCCACAUGAGGCUGUCAAGCACUUGAAAUGAGGCUAAUCCAGAUGGAGAUGUACUGUGGAGUGUAAAAUACACACUGGAUUG